rnacentral:rRNA from 1 species
AUUCUGGCUCAGAUUGAACGCUGGCGGCAUGCCUUACACAUGCAAGUCGAACGGCGGCGGACCUUCGGGUGCCGGCGAGUGGCGAACGGGUGAGUAAUAUAUCGGAACGUACCUUUCAGUGGGGAUAACGUAGCGAAAGUUACGCUAAUACCGCAUAUUCUGUGAGCAGGAAAGCAGGGGAUCGCAAGACCUUGCGCUGAUUGAGCGGCCGAUAUCAGAUUAGCUAGUUGGUGAGGUAAAGGCUCACCAAGGCGACGAUCUGUAGCGGGUCUGAGAGGAUGAUCCGCCACACUGGAACUGAGACACGGUCCAGACUCCUACGGGAGGCAGCAGUGGGGAAUUUUGGACAAUGGGCGCAAGCCUGAUCCAGCCAUGCCGCGUGAGUGAAGAAGACCUUCGGGUUGUAAAGCUCUUUCGGCCGGGAAGAAAUCGCACAGGUUAAUACCCUGUGUGGAUGACGGUACCGGAAUAAGAAGCACCGGCUAACUACGUG